GUUUUAUGACCUUUUGUUAACUUUGUCUUUUUGUUAAAUUGAGUAGAAAUUGCAAUGGUAAUGAUAAUCUGUCAUAUUUCUGCACAUGUUCGUGAUAAUUGAAUAUGAUUUCUUAUGGGAAUUGAAAUUUAACCGUUAUAUGAAUAAUGACAGUCAUGGCAGUGGUAUUUAAGUUUCCGACAUAUUUUCUAUGAAAUGUACAACCACC
rnacentral:lncRNA from 1 species